UGAGUGCUGAUAAAGGGAAAUGUGGAUAGUCCAAAUGCCCGUGUCACCCUGCAUGAUUUGUAUCCAGGAACAGCAUUAAGAAAGCAUUGCAAAACCAACUUCCUCCCUCAGGGAUGGGUUGCUUUGCAAUCGUGAUGGGGGAUUUGAGGCCCAGAAGUAGAUCUGGGAGAAAGCUGAAGAAAGGAGUGGAAGCCAAGAAUGAGACCCAGAGAGCCCACACCCAAUUAUUAUCUCUGGAUGAGAACUAUGGAGUCUGCUUCCCUGGCCCAACCUUUGAUGAGCACAUUUUCCUUCCAUCUACUCAUAUUUGUUCCUCCCCUCAACACCUCUCAAAGCAUCCAGCAUUUUCUCUCAGUAUGAACCAAACCUUUCAAGAAUACUUUUGUGAUAAGACCCAGUUCUAAUCAUGGAGCAAAGUCUUCCCCACUGGAGACAAGUGUUGGGCUCUAGCUGGGGGUUAAGAAGUUUUUCUCUGAGAAGAAGAUCUGUACCCUUGGACCCACAUCACCAUCAUACCACUGUGGCCAUUGGCAAUGAGUCCAGGUUGAUGUCACUCUGCAGUUACUGGCCUCAUUCUCCCUCUUGGUCUCCAUGAUGGUUAAUUUUCCUUGUCAACGUGACAGGAUUUGGAACCAUGUAAGAGACACACCUCUAGACAUAUAUCUGAGAGUGUUUCUAGAAAUUUCCAACUAAGGUAGGAUGAGGUAGGAAUAUGUAAAACCUAACACUCUCUUCUAACUCCUCUACAAGGCCAACCAAAGCCUAGUAAGAAAGCCUGCCACCCUGGAGAAAAAGCUUCUAAACUUCCCUCUCCCUGCCUACAUGGAAGAGGGCUCCCCCACUUACCGUCCAGUGUCACAUCCACAUUUCACUUCAACUGGCAACGGCUUUAAGAGCUCUUCACCUACAGAUGUCUGUCUAUCUGCACCUCAUGCAGUGCUUCUUAAUGACACAUGCAAGUCGGCACCCAUCACAAAAGACCAGCAGAUGCAUCCAGCCUCAUGGACCGUAAAAUUACCGGAUUUGUGAACCUUCUGUACAUAGGCAGCCAUUGUUAGAUUAGCUGGACCACAGCCUGUAAGUAAAAUUCGA